AAGGCUUUAGCUUAAUUAAAGUGUCUGAGUUGCAUUCAGGUGAUGUAGGAUAAAAUCCUGCAAGUCUUA
rnacentral:tRNA from 2 species